AGGAGGAUUCAGAACUGCAGGCA
rnacentral:piRNA from 1 species